rnacentral:rRNA from 1 species
UACGGAGGGUGCAAGCGUUAUCCGGAUUCACUGGGUUUAAAGGGUGCGUAGGUGGGUUGGUAAGUCAGUGGUGAAAUCUCCGAGCUUAACUUGGAAACUGCCAUUGAUACUAUCAGUCUUGAAUAUUGUGGAGGUGAGCGGAAUAUGUCAUGUAGCGGUGAAAUGCUUAGAUAUGACAUAGAACACCAAUUGCGAAGGCAGCUCGCUACACAUAUAUUGACUCUGAGGCACGAAAGCGUGGGGAUCAAACAGG